CUUUAUAAAACUCAGGGACUUUCUAUACUAACGGGACUCGUCUCUAUUGAUUUUAACUGAUUACUAAGCCGCCGGUUUAAAGCUACCACCCAACAAUAAACUUACUAGUUUCGUAUCUCUGAUUUACGAUGCUAUUGGUUAUUUGCGUAUUUCACAGUUCAUUGUAAUUAUAUAAUUAAUAUUAGUUGUUCAUAUCAAAUCUGAUUAAUAGCCAUUUAUGAUGACAAAAAAUAUAAGAUUUUGAAAGAAUGAUGAAUUAUUAAACUCAGACGUAUCGUUAGUAUAGAAAGUAUAUAAAUGUUUUAAAACGUUUAGGCUCAGUUCUGGAAAGACUUAGUAAAC
rnacentral:lncRNA from 1 species